AGUCUUGGCAUUUUGGAACCAGCCUCCUGCUGAAGUAAAUUUGUCUCCAAUCACAAUCCCAGGUGGGUCACCUUACUCAUAGAAGAACAUUUAAGGGUAACUCACAUGGACAGAGUAAUGCCUACUUGCAUGGAAACUUAUCACUCUCCCUAAACAAUGUUGUCGUUGUCCACACAAUGACCAUGACCUUUAGCCCCUUAUCAGUUACUCCUGUUUCCCCAAAGCUGAAGGCCAGCUGUAGCAUCCAUCAGAGCCAUGCCUUUUCACUACUCUCAAGAUUGGUUUCUUCUCCAGUUCUCAUUUUUCCCUUCUAUAUUUGCUCCCUUUCACUUCUAGUCCUCCCAGUUUUGAUAACUUGAACUCUCUGGAAUAUUAAGAUAUCCAAUCUCCCAACUGCCCAGUGCUAUUGCCACUAACCUCUGCAGACAUUGGGGCUUCUGAACCAAAUGAGGAAUAUAAUUUUAAUAGUUCCAAAACAAUUUAGAUAUCCUAGUAAAAUAGUUGGCUUAUGACUUUAAUACUGCACAGCAUUGUGUAGCCUCUUGAAAAUGAUAACAAAGUUCUAGAUUUCAAGACUGGACGAGAAUGCAAAGCUUUCCAGUAAUGUGAAUGUGCCCCUGUGCAUGCAUGAGCUUUUAUUCUCUUAACUUUUGUGAUCAUUCUAAAUCAUUCAGGGUAAUAUGUCAUUAAAUCUCACCCUUGAUAGUCAGCCAUUAUACUUGCAGAGGACUGGAGAAGAUAAAAUGUGACAUUAUUUUAAGCUUUACUGUUCUUCAAAUAGCUCACAUGUAGGUACUGGGAAGUACAAUUAUACUUCCCAUCAAAAUGAUGUGCUUCGAACAGGAGCAAUCAUUUCUGAUGUGAAUUUUUCAUAGGAAUUUUCAAUAAGUUUGAGAUAACUAUACUCUCUCUAUGUUUCAAUCUGCUAUUACCAAUAUUUAAAAUGAAUUAGUGUCAAUACUGUUGCCGUUGUUGUUUACAUAUAAAUCGAUCUAUGCAUACUGAAGAGGACUUAGUUGUUCCUUGAUUGUCUCUCUGUAGCACUGAAAUAAAUCAUCCCAUUCAAUCUGAUUAGUGGAAAGCAACAAAUUUCUUGUUUAUAGUUGAUGAUAACAGCAGUAGUAAGUAUCAUUUAUUGAGUGUCUAUUAUAACCUGGCACUGUCGUGAGUGUUCAGGAUUCAGUAUGCUAGUUAACUUACAUCACAACAAGCACUAGGCAGAAGUAUAGAUUUCAUGUUUUGUUUAGAAAUAAAUGAGACAAAGAGAGUAACUUCCAAAAGUUUAGUCUAAGUUUGUAUUCAAUGCAUACAGUCUAACCACAAAGAUGGGCUUCUUAACAGCUGUAUAGUCCACCUCCUGCAUAAGGAAAAAAACCCAGCACAUCAGAUUAUUAAAAUGUAUAGUUUUCACUAACAAUGCCCUUUGGCAGAAAAAAAAAAUAUAGGAUGACAGGGUCCGUUAGUUCUUCUAUUUACAGCCUAAAACAAUCAGGGCUUAUGUUCUAAGGUAAAAUAGAACAUCUGGUAACUAAAACAAUAAGAUGCUAAAAGCAAAAGAAAUGAACAAAACAUAAAAUGAGAAAAGCCAGUUUCUCCUUAUUGUAAUCAUUCUAACUUCCAUGCAAGAUUUUAAAAGUUUAUGUUGUGAGACAAGUCACAUGUUUCUGUUUUUGUGAUUUUCCUGGAUUUAAUACACCACACUGCUGUCCUUUAGCAUGUUUUGUACUGUAAAUAUUCUAUUGAUUCUGAAAAUCGUCCUGAGUAAAUGACAUGAACCCCUUGUCUGACUCUCUCCUAUCCCUUUUAUUGGGAACCCCCUUCCAGGUCCAUUUUCCAUAAUCUACUGAGAACUUUGUCUCUUACUGCAAUCUCAGAGGCCACAUUUCUUCAAAUUGGCAGAUGGGUGUUCAGUCAACUUAAUUUCCUUCUCUGCCCACUGUUCAUGCCACAUAUUCAGGAAUAGACUUUGAAAGGGAGUUGCCCACAAAGAGCGUGUUGUAGGAAACCUUGGAUGCAGAGAUGAGACUAGCAGCAAUAAGGGAUAAGAACAUCAGCUCGUCCCUUAUUUUCUAAGACAGAAAAAUAUUUCAAUCGAUCCAAAAUGGUAUUCCAACUGUUUUAUAUCAGGACAUACUCUAUGAUAUAGAUGCUUGCUAUAACAUUAAAAGGUAACUGCCUAUUUGAACAGCUUGAUUUAUUAAUUUUUUUCCCAAGAUUUUUUCAACUUAAAGCAAAUCUAAUGUUGUUCUUUAAGGCAAAGAUAGGGCUAAUAUAUUUCUUUAGAUGGCAAUUCAUCAAAUAUUUACAAUUCUUACCUGUCCUCCAAAUAUUCACAAUUCUUACAGUUGACAAUGCUGUUUCUUUAGCCUUACCAAGUAUACCUAUUCCCUUAACACUAAUGUCUAUGUUUCCAUUAUAUCCACUAAUACUACUAACAUGCCUAAGCCUUAGUUAAAAAGUCAUUUUUUGAGCUGGGUGUGGUGGCACACGCCUUUAAUCCCAGCACUCGGGAGGCAGAGGCAGGCAGAUUUCUGAGUUUGAGGCCAGCCUUGUCUACAAAGUGAGUUCCGUUCCAGGACAGCCAGGGCUAUGCAGAGAAACCCUGUCUUG
rnacentral:lncRNA from 1 species